rnacentral:lncRNA from 1 species
ACAUAUGUGAGGUUGUUGGAAGGAUAGGGUCAGCAGAUGUGGGUAGUGGGGACCUCUGUGGAUAAAGGCCCUUUACCUGUAGGAGGCAUUCACCAAGUCUAUCGAAGGCUUCUCUAUGCCACUCACUGUGAGAUGCAGGAUAGGGAUUGAUCUGGGUCCAGCUCUCCUGGGCCUGUCUCAAGACCUUGAGAGAGGCAGUGUUCAGAGACACCUGCAAAUAGAACUUUCCUGAUUAGAGUGGUAUGUUGGAUACUGUGAUUUCCCCCGAUAUCCAUUUCUCCCCUUUUUAGAAAUGGAGUAUCUCCAUCUUCCUCAAUUUUAGCAAGGUCCAUCUCACAGCCUCCCUUGCAGCUAGAUGUUACCACCCAAACAAGCUCUGGCCAAUGAACCUAAGUCGAAAUGAUGAUCUACCCAUUACCUGCCACCCACCUUGCCACUGCCUGUUGGCCUAGGAUUGGCAAGCAGUGGAUCUUUGGCCCUGGGCCGGAAGCUGUGGGUUAGGGAUAGCAGAGUGGCCUUGUCAGCCCAGGAGAAUUCUUUCCGCCUGGACAGUGAGUGUGUUUGGAGCUUUCAGCUGCUUCAUUUUAGCUGUGCUGUAUCCAAAACUAGUAACUGAAGCCACGUGUGUUCUCAAGUUCCCCAUGGGUAUGCCUCUGGAAUGAAAAGAUUUACGGAGGACAGAUUGGAGGCUGUGGAACUUCAAUGUGCAGGGCAGCAAAGACUGUAAUGACUCAAGUUCUAGAUAGCACAGGUAUUCGGUGGUAAUUAGGUGGGAUGUGUAUUAAGACUGCAUUUAUGCAGCAAGCACAUUGCAGUUGCUUAAUUGUAUUUAUUUGGGUUUGUGUGCCUGAAGGGCUGAUGGAGAUUAAAGUGGGACUNGGGGUGAGGGUAUUGUGACACAGCCCUUU